GCGACCCCAGGUCAGGCGGGACUACCCGCUGAGUUUAAGCAUAUCAAU
rnacentral:rRNA from 13 species